CACACACCUUUUUCUAUACCUCGCACUGAAGAGACCAGGUGAUUACCUUGUAGAAUACUCCUCAUCGUAGAUCUGAUUAUUUCUUCAUUCCCUAAACUUCCUGUAAACCGGUGCCUGGAUUUAAUGGCUUGAUGUGAUCCAGGGGAAACAUUUUUGGCACAAACGCCUCACAGGCGAUGCUAUGUCCUUACAUCACACUGCAUCUCAUCAUAAUAGCUGGUGAUUCCAUUAUGAGAUUGAAUAUAUUAAUGGACAACAGCAGGUCAUAUAUAAAAAUAGGACUUGGACCCACAAUCUGUAGCCACCAGGCCAGACAACCUCUAUAACAGUUGGCUCCAAACGGUCAAGAGUUGGUCAAUACCUGCCAGCUUCCGUAAUUUUUGCCACGGCAUCUAGCUUAGUAAAACCAACCACAGAAAGCCGAAUAAGCACCCUAACUGAUCACGCAGGAUGCCCCCCUGCUAGUUAGCCUGCCUCCAGCUUCCCAGGCCAACAGACUGAUCAGAGCACACCUGACCCUUUCCUUUUCCACCACACAGCUUUCUCACUCCCCUGCCUGCCUUUGAGUCUCUACCAAAGGCAAGUGCUGGGGGCUGACUCCCUUCCUACGGCAAGCUGGGAGUAGCCCUGGCUUGUUCUCAUCAGAGCAGCUCCUAUUUAUUUCCACAAUUGUUACUGAUGCUAAGUGGGAUCACAUUUAAUGUGGUAACAGCCAGACCUCUCACAAUGUCAACGACAACGGAAUCUAACGUCAAUUCUUGCAAAUACUAUACCAUUUGCAUUUUUUGUCACAUGCCUGUUAAUAUUUACAAGAAAAAGAUGGUUUAAUUUUUUCUCUACAAUGUAAUUUUUUAAACUAAAAAAAGAAAGUUUGUGUUUUUUUGUUUUUUAACUAAGUGCCUCCAACUAGGCAAUUUUAAGUCUUGCAUAUCUGGCUCAAUAAUGCAAAAUAAUGUCCUGUUGCUUUAAAAUGACAGGGUUUCAUCCUCUUUUCAUUAGACAUGUGGUUAAUUAAACUGACCUCCUAAAAAUGAGUUUAAUUUAAUUUGAAUAAAAGAAUGCCACAAAUACUGAUUGUUAAAAAAGAAUAAAGAAUUUUAACCCUGGAAAAAACGUAGAGCACAGAGCCUUUGAAAGUCACCUGGUGUAAUACAUGGCACAUAGUUGGUAUCCUGCAAUAUUAGGGCCCAUUGCCACGGUGGUGCACAUGGCUCAUGACCAGCCCUUUUUUCUGUCAGGUUAUGUUCGGUCACAAUCCGCAGUGCAUCCUAAUAACCGCGUUGCCACCCCACGGCAUGGUGGCAUUGCCACAGGGCCACCAACCUCUCCUAGUGCCCAGUGGGAGGGAAGUGCAGCACCAUUUUCCUCCCUGGACAGCAUCACAUAUUUCCUCACUUUCCGGGACCCUUGAAGAACACUCAGUGUCCCUUGGUCCAAGUCCCUCAUUCGUGCCUCAAGGUCCUAGACGACACAUCCGGCUCAGGAUAUUCUAUAAGGAUCAAGGGCGUGAGGCAAGGCGGGCACUCUAACUUGUUGAGUGCUAGCAGAAAACCUCCACCCCCCCAUGACCCCAGGGAACCCAGGGCUAUUACAAGCACAGAAAUUACUACCCACAAACCCUAAAGCAGGGGCCAAGACUUCUCCUAGCACCCCCACCCCCAACAUGUGGGCACAGAGCAGAGCUUCUUGUCUGGCUUGACAUGAAACAUCUUUAAACCUUUUUUUUUUUUUUUCUUUUUCAACCACAUUCCCUGUUCUCCACUGCCUAAGAAAGACAGGAGAUAGUGGAUGCCCCCUCCACACACUUGCCCCUCACCCCGAACACCACCCCAAUCUCCGGCCCAUCUUCGGAGGGGCAUUGUCAGGGAAAUGGGCUCUCUUUGGUGGGAUGUGAACCUUGUGCCCACUUCACAUGGGCUUGUACUUUCCCACCUCUACUGAUGGCACCUGCAUUUGCAUUCUCAACUACAAGAGCCCCAUCUGCUGCCAUUGUAGUGUGUGCAAUAUAGAGCAAAAGGCCACACCAGCGUUUUGGGUUAUGCAGAAAAAAGUAGGAUACAGAAUACAGGGAGUGUUCCUUCUGGAUGAGAGGGGAGGGUGGGGAAGCUCAUCUGAUUUAGCUGAUGUCUGCUUUAAGAAGCCAUAGGGACAAGGAUGAAAGUCUGUCCUCUUUCUGGGAUGAAGGGUGGAAUGAACCUGAGAGGAGACAUCUCAUGUAUAAAAAUAUACAUUUUUAUAUCUUUUCUACUUUUGAAGCAAAAAAUAAAAAAUACUCCAGGAAGCCCUGAUCAACAGAUCCUUCCAGAAAGAGAUCUUCUAAGCCAAGGAGGCACCUCCAGUCCCACCCACUGAAAUCCUGAAAUCCUUUACUCACCCAUCCCACCUCAUCACCCGAUGUGUUUCCGGCCACUUCCUUUCUUUCACAUCUCCACCUGGUCCCCCGGGGUCAUGUGAGGCCUGCAGGGGCAAAACCACAACAAAGAGUCCAAGAAGCCUUUCCCGCCCCCCCAGCACUUCCUACAGAUGGGCCGCCUCACAACAAGGGGACACACACCUCCCCCACUGUGGGCCUCUGGCCUUUCAUCCCUGCAUUUUCCCCCCAUAGAUUGGCUGUCAUACCAGACUAUUUCGACUAGCCUGAGGACACCAAGUACAUCCUAGAGGAUGUCUUCGCGGUCAGAGCCCAUGUUUGAUCCUGCCAGCUAACGUAGUAACAAGCCCGAGUAUUGUGACUGUAGCUCCUGGUGUCCAUUCUAAGGCUUUGAACCCAGCACAUGAUGGUGUGUGCUCUAUCACCAACUGGCUGCUGUGGGGACAUCAGAAAGCCUUCUGCGUGAGAGUUUAACCCCUCCAGGGUAUCUGAUGGAGCCUGUUUGUCAGCCUUCUUAACCUCUUCUACUGCAGCAGGAAUGGCUGAAUGUCUGCUUCCACUUGGCAGACCGCAAUCCCAAUGUUGGUUUUGGCUCCCCCUGAUGGUGCUGGCUGCUGUCAUCUGGGCACAUUCAGACAUAUCUUGACUUGCUCCUCCGCUAACUCCUUCCCUGAUUGACCUCAGGAUGACAGCCAUCAUGAGGAUCCAACCCAAGGCCACACACUGACCCAAUCAGUGUUUGGCGCAGAGAACUGUAAGUGAUCAGAUCAAAGACUCAGUUCCUGCUAAUGGACAGACACCACAAAGGCCUUCAAUCUCUUUGAAGGUGAUCAGCACCGCGUUACCUUCUCCACACAGCAACAAUGCCAAAGAGUGUACCAGGGAUACUUGUGCAGAUUGACACAACUUUGAUCGCAGUAGCCUGUGCAGAGCGCCUGCUACAGUGACUUCUGCUGGCCGAGCAGCUGGAUGAACUCUUCUAAAAGACAGUGUCAGGAGAAGGUAAACCAAGUCACCCUGCAUAUUCCGAUAUUCCAAUAUUGGAAAGAAUUCCAAUAUUGACCCUUUCUUCUCACAAGUGGCACCAGAAACAAGAGAUCCGUCAAGAGAGAGGAGAGCCCAAGAAAGAAAUGAUGAAAAUCCCCAGGAAAGCAGAGGAGAGAUUUUGGCAUGAGAGCUGGCACCAGACUUCUUCAAGGGCAACGAGUCAGGUUUGGGGCAGGGACUCAAGACAGAAACGGGAAGGGCUGUUAGCACCAGUGUCUCUCUCUCCACGUGGCUUUGCUAAGAGUAGUGCAUCCAGUGACCCUGGUGCACAUUCUCAUUUCUACUAGGCUUGUCUUGACAUGAGCUGACAAACUUCCUGCCCUGCAGAUCACCUUGAGGUAUCAGCAUUCCAUCCCACAGCAGUGUCUCUCUUUGAGUUGCUGGCAAAAUCCAGACGGCGGUGGUGAGCACGCAAGCAGCAGCAUCCCAAGUCCUCCGAUCACAUUUCCGUCAGACGGUGAGGACCUCGUGUACGGAAGGCACCGCUGCCACGUGCCCCGACUGGCGGCCCCGACCCCCCUGCCCCUGGGCCCAUUCUAGGCCUUGUGUGCUGACUCCCCCAGAAGGGGCUCCGGUAAAUUCCCAGGGGGGCUGAGAGUCACUCUGACCCAGAGAUCGCAUUACUCUUCCUGGCCAACUUCAUCUAAUGGCGGCAAUAUUGUUCUCUCCCCACACAGCUAAGUUGCUACUGGAUGCCAGGUGUUUGCAACACUGAACACUAUAUUCUUUCAAGAUCUCUCUGUCGGGGAUAAAAACAGAAAAGCAAGGAAAUUAUUAAACUACAAGUCAGGGCACGGCUUCCUUUGGUGGAAAAGGCAGAGAAUUUGACCAUGUUGGGCCUAAGAGGCCUUCUGAAGGAUUGGUAGUGUUGUGUUCCCUGAAGAGAAACACCCUGCCCAUUUUAUUGUUGUUUGGGCUGUACGAUUACAUUGUACACACUAUUCUAUAUGUAGGAUACACUUCACAGUUGAAAUAUUUAUAGAUAGAUAGAUAGAUAGAUAGAUGCAUAAUUGCAAAGAGAACAUCAAGGGGAGCCAUCAAAGAGCCAGAGACUAAUUCGGGCAGGUACGAGCCAGUGAGGAUAUAGACAGACGAAACAAGGUCAAUGAAACCUGCAAGUUCGAACACCAGUGGCAGGGGGCAGUGCCACCGCAGGCCCUGUGAGAGGAUCAGCCCUCCGACGCCAGCCACAUGCUCCCCGGUGGCAUAGGCUUGCUCUGAGGCCCGCCCUGCACGUCCUUGUAUUUCUCUCCAUCCUUGGUAUCUGAUCCAGGUGGCCCUCUGCCCUGUCCAUCUAAGGCGGGCAGCAGGUCGGUUUCCUUGCACCAAACCCUUUGUUCCAGCCAAGGAGAGGUCUGAGACUCUGGGGCGGAGCCUGGCUCCUAGCCCAGACCCUGUCAGUUUCCACUCGCAAGCACGAAAUGUCGAGCAGCUCCUCUGACCUCCGAAAAGGCUACCUGGAGCUGGGGUUUUGCUGAAGCCCCAUUUCCCACACCUACCCUGGAUGUCAGUACGGGAAGGGUCUUAGAGAUGAUGUAGCCUGCAUUUGUCUUCAAAGGCCCAGGUGCUGAGGCCACGAGUGUGAUGCAUCCAAGGCCUCACGGCCGGACGAAAGUCAGCUCUGCCUUUCCAGAAGGAUCUGAGCCUGCAUGAGACAGACACCUGCUUGGGGCAGAACCCCAUCUGCCUCUGCAGCCCUCCUUGCUGCCCCAGUCUCGGCAUGGCUUAGAGACGAGCAUGAAUUCCCUCAGUGGUACUUUGUAGCAUCCAGAAGCAAGUGCUCUGGGAUCUCAGCAACUCAGCAGGCCUCCACUGUUAAAAGCCAUAGUAAAAAAAAAAAAAGCCAUAGUAGUUUUUUUCCUUGUAAUCGUAACAGAAAACCAAGUUUCCUAUAGGAGAUUUGGAAAAUACAGAUAAGACUAAAAGACCCAUUGCUAAAACAAGUGGCCCUUGCCCCCAUUUGCCAGGUGGGUGACAAAAUCCGUGCAGCCGCUGCCGCUCUCACCCUGGCUCUGGGCAGCCCGGUGGCUGGGUGCACGUGGACAAAAAGAGGAGGCCCUCUGGGCCCCGGCCAGCCGCACCAGCCCCCCACCCCCACACCUCAGCUGCCACAGUCCACACAGCCCUGUGACUCUCGUGGCCACCGGUGAGCCCAAGACUGCAGGUCCAUGAUGGAACUUCACCCAGCAAGAAAGGACCAAGGGGAUACUAACACCAAGUCGGCCCCCGCUGGUCAGGUCACCGCAGUGGCAUGGUGCGGUGCCCCUGCACGCCUCCAGGCGAAAAGAGCAGAGGAGAAGGACUCUGCUCUGACGGAGACCUCGGCGCAUCUAAUGAGGCCAGUCUGGGCUUCCUGCCACCCCAGAACUCCAGAGAGCCCUACGUGGUACUGCAAUGCUGGGUCCUAUCACAGUACAGCCCCCACACCAGGCGCGGCCUUCUUUAGCCCCGGGCCUGACCUGGGCCUCCUCCCCUUACUGAGGACAUUAGGGGAUCUCCGUGUCCUUCAAAUCUCCUUUGCUCUUCACAGCUCUGAAUGUAAGCAGCUGAGGGUGCAGGCAGCAGGUCAAAGGGGCUCCUGAGCAUCACAGGCGCUGGAGAGAACCUCGCACACCAGACAAUUCCGGCUACAUGCAGAGAGCCGAAGGACGGGGAACAGACAGAAAACCAAUUUAAAAAACAGGUAUCUUCAUUGCAACAAGUUAUGGAAAUUGACCUUUAUUUAUUGUACUAAAGUCUGUGUAACUUUUGAUACAAAGUAAGGUUUUAGUACAGAAAAUCCCAGUCUGUCAGAACAGUACCUGUGCACACUACCAUCACAGUCCCACUCGGGCCGCAACCCAGAGAGACAGCCAGAGGGCACCAGGUGGGACCUGACAGCCCACCGUCUGUCUUGGUUGUCUGAGCUAGAAGACGACGCGUACCUGUGAAACAAAGGGCAGCACUGAGGACUGACACAUGUCUCUUUUUGAACAACUGUGCAAGAAAAUAUAUCCCUUUUUUUAAAAAAAUGUCAGUUUGGCUAAUCUACAAUCUAGUGUCUAGAAUUACAAAGAAUAAAAUGAAAUCAAAGAUUUCUUGCUAGUAAAAUGAAAUGUUAGGAAUAGUAUUAAAAUAUAGGUCCUACCCCAGUGACACUUCCACGGAGCCCAGUACAGUACCUAUUAUUAACAGGACGCACAGUUUAAGGAGGAACCACAUCAAAUCUUCAGCCGGAGAUAUCCAGCAUCAGAAGUGCAAAAAAAAAAAAAAAAAAAAGAAAGAAAAAAGAAAAAAGAAAAGAAAAGAAGAAAACCCAACCAAAACAGAACCCCCAACAAAGAUGUUCUUGUGGGGUUGUGUUUAUGCUGGGAGCACGGUCACCGAGACUAAGAAGGUCCUCAGCCGCUCUCUAGAUGUCUGACAGUGAGGACACUCGGCAUUAAGCUUCCCCUAAGCGCUCUGGGUUCAAAGUCUGAAACACGAGUGUCUUCACAUCAGAGACAGCUGAUGUACCUGCCCCAGCCCCCAGCGUUUAAGAGUUACCCUGCAAAAAUUGCACUGAUAAAGCGGUCAUUAUUUACACAAGCUGAAGAGGUCCCAGUAGCACGCGCCAGCCCUCGGUUAACUAACACCCUGCCCAGAACUACGGUGUGGUGGUGACCCCAGGUAGAAUGCGGAUGCAACAAUCACAGAUGGAGAAGAAAUGAAAGAACACGGAAGGUAGGAGAGAAAGCCCGAGCAAUGAGGGUGCAGGAAGCCUACGUGGUCUUCCUGGCGCAGGAAGGGAGAACACGGCUGCUGGUGACUCGGCCCUACAAAGGCACUGGUCCUGCCACAAUAGCGGCUAAGCCUGCGCAGUCACCGUGUCCCUUCCAAGAGAGGUGCCACCGUGGAGUGGGAAGUUUCUUGAAGCUCUGGUCCCACCGACAGGAACCUCCCAGAGCAAAGUGGGCCCCAGUGAGGUUCCAGAGUCAUUUUGCUAAAAGCAGGAACAAAACCCAACACCAAAGCAACACGGGGGGUGGCUGACAGAGGGAUAGGGCUGGGCACCGACAACAUGGAGCCGUUCAAGUAAACAUAAGCAACCAAUACUUAGAAAAGGCUUGUAAACGUGUGAUCUGAAAGGUUGUCUUUGCAGCAUCUCUGAUCGGCUGGCUAAAGAAAGGGUGGUGUUGAACCCCUCUAUCGAAAGUCUUUUGUGUUUUUUUAUUUCGUCUUAAAGCACAUGUGUGAGAGGAAGGCAGUCCAAUGGCCUGGGCCCGGAUCCUGUUCACUUGUGGCCCUGGGUCUACAGAGGAGAUGCUUCCGGAGUCCAUGUGCACAGGUCCUUCCCCUCCAUGUUUAUAUACAGAUAGACUUGUACUUUCAGUCACUGAGAAGGAGCUGGGCCAGACGUUUAUGCCGGCAGACAAGCCGCAGCGACUUCCAGCGUGGCAUUCUUCUACAGCGGGCAGGCUGGAAUCCACAGGACUUUGUUUUGUUCUUGAUUGACCAUUGCCAAGAUCUGAGUGCAAAUGCUCGACAGGGCUCCUCCCUGGAUGACCCCUGCAAGAGAGCCCCCAAACACAUCAUUGAGUUCAGAGUGAGUGAGACCCCAGGCUUGUGGCAAAUAAAUACAUCUUUUACUCUU